rnacentral:rRNA from 1 species
GCGGCGUGCCUAAUACAUGCAAGUCGAGCGAACGGACGAGAAGCUUGCUUCUCUGAUGUUAGCGGCGGACGGGUGAGUAACACGUGGAUAACCUACCUAUAAGACUGGGAUAACUUCGGGAAACCGGAGCUAAUACCGGAUAAUAUUUUGAACCGCAUGGUUCAAAAGUGAAAGACGGUCUUGCUGUCACUUAUAGAUGGAUCCGCGCUGCAUUAGCUAGUUGGUAAGGUAACGGCUUACCAAGGCGACGAUGCAUAGCCGACCUGAGAGGGUGAUCGGCCACACUGGAACUGAGACACGGUCCAGACUCCUACGGGAGGCAGCAGUAGGGAAUCUUCCGCAAUGGGCGAAAGCCUGACGGAGCAACGCCGCGUGAGUGAUGAAGGUCUUCGGAUCGUAAAACUCUGUUAUUAGGGAAGAACAUAUGUGUAAGUAACUGUGCACAUCUUGACGGUACCUAAUCAGAAAGCCACGGCUAACUACGUGCCAGCAGCCGCGGUAAUACGUAGGUGGCAAGCGUUAUCCGGAAUUAUUGGGCGUAAAGCGCGCGUAGGCGGUUUUUUAAGUCUGAUGUGAAAGCCCACGGCUCAACCGUGGAGGGUCAUUGGAAACUGGAAAACUUGAGUGCAGAAGAGGAAAGUGGAAUUCCAUGUGUAGCGGUGAAAUGCGCAGAGAUAUGGAGGAACACCAGUGGCGAAGGCGACUUUCUGGUCUGUAACUGACGCUGAUGUGCGAAAGCGUGGGGAUCAAACAGGAUUAGAUACCCUGGUAGUCCACGCCGUAAACGAUGAGUGCUAAGUGUUAGGGGGUUUCCGCCCCUUAGUGCUGCAGCUAACGCAUUAAGCACUCCGCCUGGGGAGUACGACCGCAAGGUUGAAACUCAAAGGAAUUGACGGGGACCCGCACAAGCGGUGGAGCAUGUGGUUUAAUUCGAAGCAACGCGAAGAACCUUACCAAAUCUUGACAUCCUUUGACAACUCUAGAGAUAGAGCCUUCCCCUUCGGGGGACAAAGUGACAGGUGGUGCAUGGUUGUCGUCAGCUCGUGUCGUGAGAUGUUGGGUUAAGUCCCGCAACGAGCGCAACCCUUAAGCUUAGUUGCCAUCAUUAAGUUGGGCACUCUAAGUUGACUGCCGGUGACAAACCGGAGGAAGGUGGGGAUGACGUCAAAUCAUCAUGCCCCUUAUGAUUUGGGC